rnacentral:rRNA from 1 species
GAUCCUGGCUCAGGAUGAACGCUGGCGGCGUGCUUAACACAUGCAAGUCGAACGAAGCACUUUAAUCGAUUUCUUCGGAUUGAAAUUUUAGUGACUGAGUGGCGGACGGGUGAGUAACGCGUGGGUAACCCUGCCUCACACAGGGGGAUAACAGUUGGAAACGGCUGCUAAUACCGCAUAAGCGCACAGUACCGCAUGGUACAGUGUGAAAAACUCCGGUGGUGUGAGAUGGACCCGCGUCUGAUUAGCUAGUUGGCAGGGCAACGGCCUACCAAGGCGACGAUCAGUAGCCGACCUGAGAGGGUGAACGGCCACAUUGGGACUGAGACACGGCCCAAACUCCUACGGGAGGCAGCAGUGGGGAAUAUUGCACAAUGGGGGAAACCCUGAUGCAGCGACGCCGCGUGAGUGAUGAAGUAUUUCGGUAUGUAAAGCUCUAUCAGCAGGGAAGAAAAUGACGGUACCUGACUAAGAAGCCCCGGCUAACUACGUG